UACGUAGGUGGCGAGCGUUGUCCGGAUUUACUGGGCGUAAAGGGAGCGUAGGCGGACUUUUAAGUGAGAUGUGAAAUACUCGGGCUCAACUUGAGUGCUGCAUUUCAAACUGGAAGUCUAGAGUGCAGGAGAGGAGAAUGGAAUUCCUAGUGUAGCGGUGAAAUGCGUAGAGAUUAGGAAGAACACCAGUGGCGAAGGCGAUUCUCUGGACUGUAACUGACGCUGAGACUCGAAAGCGUGGGGAGCAAACAGG
rnacentral:rRNA from 1 species